UCAGUCAGUCUGUUGGUUAAUUAGUUAGUCAGUGCGGUUUGUCGUCGUCAUCACUCUCACUUUUUUCCACAAGUUACUCUAAAACUGUUUUAAGUAGCAGGCGCGCAGCAAAGCCGAGUAGUGAGAGUGACUAAAUGGAAAAGCAAAAACAACCCACGGCGAUUGUCUCACCACAAUCAACAACAAAACAAAAUGUGUAAAAACUUCGAAGCUUUAACACAAACAUACCCAAAGAAGCAACAACAGCAAACAGUAUUGUCUACAUGCUUGCAUGACGUGACGGCCAGUUCCGUUUGUUGUUGUACAAAAAGUGUCGAAAUCACACACGAAAACCUUAUCAGCUCAGUCGUUGAAAGAGCGCAUACGGAGAGGCAAAGCGACGGCAAAGAGCGAUGAACAAUGGAGGCCAACAAAAACAAGUGUUUGAUACACUGCGAUCAGUAUACGAAUAGAAAAUUUGGAGGCUCAUACUAUAUUCAUAAAUACACAGACGUACAUAUGGUUAAAUAAAUUUGGAAAAAUGGAGCAGCCGAAAAUGAGUGCAAACAAAAGAAUAAUCGACUCAAUUUGAAUGAAUAUUAGAGGAAUUACGCUACAUUAUUCGAUGAGUUGUCGCUUUGCUCCCCACCAUUGUGCGAUUGUGAGUGGAGUGACUCUCACACCUGCGCCGCAUUUCUGUCGAAAUUCCGUCUUCGAUUUCCCUUGCUUAUGCACUGCAGCGUCGCUCAAGUGACCAGCCGGCAUUCGACCUUGUCGCUCGUUUGCAUUUCACGCGCAUAUAUACAGCUAUUGCUUCGUUUUGUUGUCGCGCUGUCCGCACUCACUCACAUAAUUUCACUUGCGCUCUUCCAAUUCGCUGCCUACCUAUCUACCUACGUGUGCGUUUGUGUGUAUGCAUGCACAUAGGCUUGUGACGCGUGCAUUGUCUGACCAAUGUAAUACCAGCAAUAACAACAACCACAUACACACGAGUACAACAACAAUUAUUUCCAUUAUCGCUCAUCUUGGCUUUUGAACCGCUACACCGCUGUCGUCUCGUUGACGUCGCGUCGCUGCUUUGAAAAGUUAUUUGCAGUGUGCUUUUACUCGAGACUCGUCGGGCACAGCACACCGUAUAUUUUUCAUUCGCAGUGCUCGCCGGCCGCUGGCAGUCAUUUGCUGUUUGCCUGUUAAAUAAAAUUUAUAAUUUAAUUUAUUUAAAAAAUUAUUUCAAAAGUAAACAUUCGACGAUGAAGAAGACACCAGCAGCAAAGGCACAGACAGACAGGCAUGUAGACAGUGCGCACUGUGGAUGUUGUUGCUGCUGGCGUGUAUGUGGUAGGAGGUGAGCUCUGACGCGACGCUCGCAUUCCAAGUACUGCAUUAAUUUUAAAAUUUUCCUGUCUGGCACUGUCAGCCAUGUUUACACUCAUUUGCAAGUCGCAGCCAAGGCAGAGCCGACGGAGUUAGAGUUCACACUGGCAGUAUUUGCAUUUUACUCUGUUGCUGUCUGUCUGAAAAGCCGAAAAUUCGUCAAGUAAAUUUGAUGAAAAGCCAACACCAAGUGGAAUAGUGGAAUAGGCAAAGCGCGAGUGCCCAAGUUGUGUGUGCGUGUGAAGCAAAUGUUAUUUUAAUUACAAAAUGUUUCAAAGUUUCCAAGUAGAAUUCGGUCUGACAGCCUUGGCAUAGCAUUAUGCAUAGUUAUUGCAGCGCUUGUACGACUGAGCAACGAAAAUUUAGAUUUUUUGUUAAUGCGAAGUCGCACCAUGUGCCUUCUUGAAGCACUAAAUUGGCGUCAAAAUCUGCCAACACAAGCUGUAGUACUAAUAACUGAAGAAAAUCGAAAAAGCGUGCAUCGAUGAUGAAUAGUUUUUUCAUACGGCACUGAGGUGAAGCAAUCCUAGCUCAUUAUAAACAUAGACAUUCUUAUGCUGCAACUACUUACUGUUUUGUUCUAAUUCUAAUAGAAACUAAUAUUUGCUGUGAAAUCUUUAUAAAAAUAAAAAUAAAAUAAUAUAAAAAGUCUAAA